UGUAAAUCCCUUACUAACUGUGGCUUUGUCAUGUAGUCACUUCUCCUCUCUGUGCUUCCCUUUCCUAGCCUGUGAAAACCUCCUGCCUACAUAAACUCCUUAGGACAGAGCCUGGCAUGUAGUGAGCCCUCUGUGAGUAUUCGCUACCCCUAUUGUUAUUUCAUGAGCUCUCAAAGCACACAACCAUGGGCCUGUUUUACUUCUGGUUGAAAUGGAAGCUGGGAGGGCAGAGGGCAGAUGCCUGAAGCUAAGCAGCCUAUUAAAAGUAGAAUAGAAAUAGACGAGAGGAAACCCAAGCGCUUUUCUCUUCAGAUAGCUAUCAAACCACGCUUCGCUGCAGACUAUGGGCUUGGGUAUGGCUAGAGAUCAAAGGCCCUCUUAUGUGCAGUGACAUUUGUGAGCACAGGGCUGAGUUAUAAAACUCUUGAAUGGAAGGUUUUGGCACUUGGAACAGCUUGGGAUAGAAAGGCUGGGUUUUUAUGGAGGCGAUUCAUGGAACUGCUUGUGCUGGUGGGGAAACCAGACUGUUAUGACUCACUUGUCUCUUUAUUGCUUUGGACCAAGCAACUGUUGUUUCCUUUUAAGUCCCUCUGUAGGAGCUGCACUACAGCCCAGGGCCAAGUAACUUCUUCAGGAAGACAGUGUGGCCUCAGUGAGUGUGAACACGAAUACUUCUUUGUUGGGCUUUGGGUCAGGAGGACUGGACAAGCCGAAUAAGGAUUUUCUUUUUAUCAGGGGAUAGAAUUUCUUUUGGAAACCGGCAGCAUCCUUAAUGCUUCUUUAACUUUAGAUAGUCUUUCCUUUUGUCUGUCUGCCAUUUUCCCUUUCUGAAGGCCCAGGCUAACUUGGAUUGUGUGACUGGUAGAGGAUAGUGGAAUAACUUUGGAAAGUAGAAAUCAGUGUGUCUGGGUUGCUACAUAUGGAACUAGGGAGAGCAGAAGGGGUCAUUUGGAGUCCAGUUUGCAUUGCUAGGUCUCCUGGGAGAAACUGGGAAGAGGAGUUUUGGACUGAUGGUAAGACUUAGUGGUAGACAGACUUGUAAGACAGCUCCCAAUGUUUUCCACCUCCUGGUAUUUACUCCUUUGUGUAAUUUCCUCCUCUUGUGUUUAGGCUAGACCUCAUGAUUAGUAUAUGCGAAUGUGAGAAUAUUCUCAUAAAUAGAAUGUGACAAGAGUAAUGAGAUGUCAUUUUGUGAUUAGAUUACAAAAGUCUAUGAUUUCUACCUUGCUAAGGCUUUCUCUUCCUUCCACUUUCUCUUCCUUUCUUUUGCCAUCUUGGCUUGUGUGCUCUGAUGAAGCCAGAUGCUGUGGUGGGGAGACAUGUGACGAGGAAUCAAGGGGAUGGCCUCUGGUCAAUAUCCUGCAAAGCACUGAGUUCCCUGGUCUGAUGCGCAUGAGGAACUGAAUACUUUAACAACACUGGGAAUUUGUGAGGAAACUUUAAUGGUUGCCAGAGGUGUCUGGACCAUGGAGAACACAGCUGUAAGAACUGAGGUUUUGAAGGACUUGGAUUCCCAAUGAAUACACUAGGCAUAGACUCAAGAGACAGAGACCAUUCCAAACAUUCUGGAUUGGCCCCCUCACUAUGCAUGAUGAACUAGCUUCAUGGCUAGAGUGGACACAGGGAAGAUAACAGUUCUGCUCUCACAGAUGCUGGUUUAGAACUUCUCUGCUGUAAGUGAAAAGAUGGAUUAGGUGAUCUUCUCCACAUCUUCAUGUUAUCUGUGCUAAAACAACGUGUCUUGAGCAUGUAUGGUUGACAACUUGAUGGAAAGGGACUGUGACUGACAUACACAGGAAGACCUUCUCUACUAAAAUCUCAUGCCCAAGAAUCUUAUGAUUCCUUGAACAGUACCAAUUGCGUUUUAUGAUUUGUUUAUUCAUCUACUCAAUUAAUUUUGAUUGUGUAUUGUUCUAUACCAGGAGCUGUGCUAAGAAAUGGGGAUACAUUGUUGAACAAAAGGGAGACCUUAUCCUUAGGGAGCUUAUAGUAGUCAGAGGGAAGAUACACAUUUUUCUAGUAUGAGGAAAUAUGACAAAUGCAAGGAUGAUGGAAGUAAAGAGUGCUAUGGGUGUACCCAGGAGGGUUGAAUAACCCAGUCUUGUACCAUCAGGGAGAGUUUAUCAAAGGAAAUAACAUCUAAUCUGAGACCUGAAGAAUAAAUUCUAGUUAGCAGGAUUAAGGAGAAUAGCUGGUCAGAGGGGCAUGGGUUUUCAUUUUAAAAUAUUCUAGGCAGAGAGAAAAACAACUUGGGCUAAAACCAGCCAGGGAUAAAACCUUUUGGGAAACCGAGAGACUGCAGAGGAGCGGGGGAGAGAAAAAGGAGAGGAAAGCAGAGGUCAGAUCACAAAAGGCCUUAUAAGGAAUAUUAAGUGCAUGGGUCUAAUUAUGAGGACAAUGAGUCAUUAAAUCUUUUUAUGUAGACAGUAUAUGAUAGAACCACAUUUGCAUUUUGGAAAGAUUACCCUGAGGAUGAAAUUGAUGUAAAACUAGGACCAGAGAGGGGUUCUCUUAGGAGGUUAUUGCAGUAGUUGGGGCCAGAAAGGAUGAGCUGGACUUGAAUAGAGACAGUGGGGCUGGAGAGGCAAGACUAUGUCUCUAAGAUGGUUUGAAGCAGGCAAUCCAAACCUGCCAUCCUAUCACAUUCAGGCAGUUGCUGCCGUUAUAGUCCAGUCCUGCCAAAUGCAAGCUGUCAUCUCCUUGUUUGAUUUUGGGUAGGCCUGUGAACUCCCUAGGGGCAAGGAGUAUUUUGUAUUCCUCUGUGUGUCUCUAGUAUCUUGGAGAUGCUCAGGGAUCGAAUGUUCUUGAAUAAGUGAGUCUCAGCGACAUGGUAUUUUUGAUACAGUGGUUGUCCUCAUGACCUUCCAGACCCAACUUUAUUAGGAAAGGUCAAUGACAAUCGUGAAAAUCAACAUCUAGAGCUACUUCAGCCUGCACAUUAAGGUGUGAAUACUUUCACUUGGUUCACUGAGAGUAUUGAAAUACCCAGGCUGGUUUUCCUGACUCAGUUCUCUUCUGCCAUCUGCUGGGACAAGUAUUUCAUAACAUACCAAAGAGAAAGAAUGAAUGAAGCCAGGCCCAAAAGCAUUAUGGGGGAAGCAGAGGUCAAUACCUGGACAAAUUUACAAUUUGGUUGGAGAAAUAAGUGUCCCCAGAUUAUCUUCCCUCUGCAGCUAAUCUUGAGUAUUUUCCACAUCCCUUUUUAUUUUUUUCAUGUAAACUAUCUUAAAUAUAUGUAAUCUCUUUUGGUUUUUGUAACAACCGAAUGGUAACAGCCAUUGUUAUCAUUACUAGUUUUGAAACGAGGAAAUGGAAGCACAGAGAUUUCAAGAAAAUGCCAACUCUGAACAAUAAAUAACUGGCUGAGUCAAGACUGAAGCCUCCUUUAUUCCUAGUUCCACUUUUGUCACAAAACAUCCUGAUGAAAGUAAGAGUUUGAGGGAGGCUGAGAU